rnacentral:rRNA from 2 species
CAGUCGAACGAACUCUGGUAUUGAUUGGUGCUUGCAUCAUGAUUUACAUUUGAGUGAGUGGCGAACUGGUGAGUAACACGUGGGAAACCUGCCCAGAAGCGGGGGAUAACACCUGGAAACAGAUGCUAAUACCGCAUAACAACUUGGACCGCAUGGUCCGAGUUUGAAAGAUGGCUUCGGCUAUCACUUUUGGAUGGUCCCGCGGCGUAUUAGCUAGAUGGUGAGGUAACGGCUCACCAUGGCAAUGAUACGUAGCCGACCUGAGAGGGUAAUCGGCCACAUUGGGACUGAGACACGGCCCAAACUCCUACGGGAGGCAGCAGUAGGGAAUCUUCCACAAUGGACGAAAGUCUGAUGGAGCAACGCCGCGUGAGUGAAGAAGGGUUUCGGCUCGUAAAACUCUGUUGUUAAAGAAGAACAUAUCUGAGAGUAACUGUUCAGGUAUUGACGGUAUUUAACCAGAAAGCCACGGCUAACUACGUGCCAGCAGCCGCGGUAAUACGUAGGUGGCAAGCGUUGUCCGGAUUUAUUGGGCGUAAAGCGAGCGCAGGCGGUUUUUUAAGUCUGAUGUGAAAGCCUUCGGCUCAACCGAAGAAGUGCAUCGGAAACUGGGAAACUUGAGUGCAGAAGAGGACAGUGGAACUCCAUGUGUAGCGGUGAAAUGCGUAGAUAUAUGGAAGAACACCAGUGGCGAAGGCGGCUGUCUGGUCUGUAACUGACGCUGAGGCUCGAAAGUAUGGGUAGCAAACAGGAUUAGAUACCCUGGUAGUCCAUACCGUAAACGAUGAAUGCUAAGUGUUGGAGGGUUUCCGCCCUUCAGUGCUGCAGCUAACGCAUUAAGCAUUCCGCCUGGGGAGUACGGCCGCAAGGCUGAAACUCAAAGGAAUUGACGGGGGCCCGCACAAGCGGUGGAGCAUGUGGUUUAAUUCGAAGCUACGCGAAGAACCUUACCAGGUCUUGACAUACUAUGCAAAUCUAAGAGAUUAGACGUUCCCUUAGGGGACAUGGAUACAGGUGGUGCAUGGUUGUCGUCAGCUCGUGUCGUGAGAUGUUGGGUUAAGUCCCGCAACGAGCGCAACCCUUAUUAUCAGUUGCCAGCAUUAAGUUGGGCACUCUGGUGAGACUGCCGGUGACAAACCGGAGGAAGGUGGGGAUGACGUCAAAUCAUCAUGCCCCUUAUGACCUGGGCUACACACGUGCUACAAUGGAUGGUACAACGAGUUGCGAACUCGCGAGAGUAAGCUAAUCUCUUAAAGCCAUUCUCAGUUCGGAUUGUAGGCUGCAACUCGCCUACAUGAAGUCGGAAUCGCUAGUAAUCGCGGAUCAGCAUGCCGCGGUGAAUACGUUCCCGGGCCUUGUACACACCGCCCGUGACACCAUGAGAGUUUGUAACACCCAAAGUCGGUGGGGU